ACCACGGCAUGCUCAGUACGGCGAGUGAAGCGGCAAGAGCUCAAAUUUGAAAGCUGGCUCCUUCGGGGUCCGCAUUGUAAUUUGCAGAGGAUGCUUCGGGUGCAGCCCCCGUCUAAGUGCCCUGGAACGGGCCGUCAUAGAGGGUGAGAAUCCCGUAUGGGGCGGGGUGUCUGCGUCCGUGUGAAGCUCCUUCGACGAGUCGAGUUGUUUGGGAAUGCAGCUCUAAAUGGGUGGUAAAUUUCAUCUAAAGCUAAAUACUGGCCGGAGACCGAUAGCGCACAAGUAGAGUGAUCGAAAGAUGAAAAGCACUUUGAAAAGAGAGUUAAACAGCACGUGAAAUUGUUGAAAGGGAAGCGCUUGCAACCAGACUCGCUCGCGGGGUUCAGCCGGGCUUCGGCCCGGUGUACUUCCCCGCGGGCGGGCCAGCGUCGGUUUGGGCGGCCGGUCAAAGGCCUCCGGAAUGUAGCGCCCUUCGGGGCGCCUUAUAGCCGGGGGUGCAAUGCGGCCAGCCUGGACCGAGGAACGCGCUUCGGCACGGACGCUGGCAUAAUGGUUGUAAACGACCCGUCUUGACAC
rnacentral:rRNA from 1 species